rnacentral:rRNA from 1 species
CAGUCGCCGCGGGAAUACGUAGGGUGCAAGCGUUAAUUGGAAUUACUGGGCGUAAAGCGUGCGCAGGCGGUUAUAUAAGACAGAUGUGAAAUCCCCGGGCUCAACCUGGGAACUGCAUUUGUGACUGUAUAGCUAGAGUACGGCAGAGGGGGAUGGAAUUCCGCGUGUAGCAGUGAAAUGCGUAGAUAUGCGGAGGAACACCGAUGGCGAAGGCAAUCCCCUGGGCCUGUACUGACGCUCAUGCACGAAAGCGUGGGGAGCAAACAGGAUUAGAUACCCCCGUAGUCCCUGUCUCUUAUAU